GGAAUAUUGGACAAUGGGCGAAAGCCUGAUCCAGCGACGCCGCGUGUGUGAAGAAGGCCUGCGGGUUGUAAAGCACUUUCGAUGGGAACGAAAUGUGCCGGGUUAAUACCCCGGCCAGCUGACGUUACUCAAUGAAGCAGCACCGGCUAACUCCUUGCCAGCAGCCGCGGUAAUACAGAGGGUGCGAGCGUUAAUCGGAACUACUGGGCGUAAAGAGCACGUAGGUGGCGACGUAAGUCGGGUGUGAAAGCCCCGGGCUCAACCUGGGAAUUGCAUUCGAGACUGCAUUGCUGGAGUACGGAAGAGGAGGGCGGAAUUCCCGGUGUAGCGAUGAAAUGCGUAGAUAUCGGGAGGAACAUCAGUGGCGAAGGCGGCCCUCUGGUCCAGUACUGACACUCAAGUGCGAAAGCGUGGGGAGCAAA
rnacentral:rRNA from 1 species